UACGUAGGGUGCGAGCGUUGUCCGGAAUUACUGGGCGUAAAGCGUGCGUAGGUGGUUUGUUAAGUCUGAUGUGAAAGCCCUGGGCUCAACCUGGGAAUUGCAUUGGAUACUGGCAGGCUAGAGUGCGGUAGAGGAUGGCGGAAUUCCCGGUGUAGCAGUGAAAUGCGUAGAGAUCGGGAGGAACAUCUGUGGCGAAGGCGGCCAUCUGGACCAGCACUGACACUGAGGCA
rnacentral:rRNA from 1 species